UACAGAGGUCCCAAGCGUUGUUCGGAUUCAUUGGGCGUAAAGGGUGCGUAGGUGGCGCCGUAAGUCAGGUGUGAAAUCUCGGGGCUUAACUCCGAAACUGCAUUUGAUACUGCGGUGCUUGAGGACUGGAGAGGAGACUGGAAUUUACGGUGUAGCAGUGAAAUGCGUAGAGAUCGUAAGGAAGACCAGUGGCGAAGGCGGGUCUGCGUGGGACGGUACUGACGCUGAGAACGCGGAAAGCGUGGGGGAGCAAACAACGG
rnacentral:rRNA from 1 species